UGCUGAAACAGCAAUGUCUGUAUAGUUCUUCCUUAGUUAGAAGCAGGAACCUUCCAAUUCUUCAGCCAGAGCUGCAUCCCUUUACAGGCGGGUCUGCUCAUUUGGGCGAUGUCGUUGACAUGAUAAUCGUCACUGGCCCAUAUCCUUUUACCUGGCCCACCAAAUGCAUGCUUUACAGGAAGUUGAUGGUUGGGGGUAAGUGUUUGGUUGGGAGAUGAAAGUCAAAGAUUAGCACAG